rnacentral:tRNA from 1 species
GGGGCGGUAGCUCAAUGGUGAGAGCAGGGGACUCAUAAUCCCUGGGUUGUGGGUUCGAUCCCCACCCGCCCCA